ACGAACGCUGGCGGCGUGCUUAACACAUGCAAGUCGAACGAUGAAGCCCAGCUUGCUGGGUGGAUUAGUGGCGAACGGGUGAGUAACACGUGAGUAACCUGCCCUCCACUCUGGGAUAACUGCUAGAAAUGGUAGCUAAUACCGGAUAUGACAACUGGCCGCAUGGUCUGGUUGUGGAAAGAAUUUCGGUGGGGGAUGGACUCGCGGCCUAUCAGCUUGUUGGUGAGGUAAUGGCUCACCAAGGCGACGACGGGUAGCCGGCCUGAGAGGGUGACCGGCCACACUGGGACUGAGACACGGCCCAGACUCCUACGGGAGGCAGCAGUGGGGAAUAUUGCACAAUGGGCGCAAGCCUGAUGCAGCAACGCCGCGUGAGGGACGACGGCCUUCGGGUUGUAAACCUCUUUUAGUAGGGAAGAAGCGAAAGUGACGGUACCUGCAGAAAAAGCACCGGCUAACUACGU
rnacentral:rRNA from 1 species